rnacentral:rRNA from 1 species
UACGGGGGGUGCAAGCGUUGUCCGGAAUCAUUGGGCGUAAAGAGUUCGUAGGUGGUAUGUUAAGUCUGGUGUUAAAGGCGGAAGCUCAACUUCCGUAGGGCACUGGAUACUGGCAAACUUGAAUGCGGUAGAGGUAAAGGGAAUUCCUGGUGUAGCGGUGAAAUGCGUAGAUAUCAGGAGGAACAUCGGUGGCGUAAGCGCUUUACUGGGCCGUAAUUGACACUGAGGAACGAAAGCCGGGGUAGCAAAUGGGAUUAGAAACCCGUAGUC